GGUCCAUCUUGUGUUCAGUUGCCACAGUAUGGUUCACUCAGAGGAAAAUAUAAACAAAAUCUAGUUUAUAUUUUACAUAAUGAUUGCAAUGAAAUCACAGCACGUAAGCAUUUAUAGAGUCAAACACGUUUUAUAUCAGACACGGGAAGCAUUCAGAUCUGUAAAUUCAUAUGAAGACAUGGACUUCAUCUCAGGCUGAUUGUACUUUACAUUUUAGAUCAGUGUUAGAUGUUUCAUAAGCUCAACUUGCUGUAUUUGAGUAAUGAUCAGACUAACAACAACAUCAACAGGGUCGAGUGCCCGUCCUCCCGCAGGACAACCAGACAGGAAGGAGAGUCUCUGCCCGCCAGAGGAGGCCUGCAGUCUGCAGACAGUGUCCCUGCUGCAGGGACGACCAGGUGCCACAUACAAAGCGCCGGCGCCCUGCUGCUUCUGCAGACCUUCCCCAGAAAAGGAAGCAGACCUCCGCUGCUCUUCCUCCUAAACCUGCUGACCUGCCCCCUGUCUCUAAUGUGGCCCCCAGCCCCCGGACCUCCACUGCUCCCCUGCACCUCGACAACCCUAUCAGGAUCCACAACCGCUCAGUCGAGGAGUAUCAGCUCAUCUACCAUGAAGUUGUGGAUAACAUGCUGAGGUUCCCGAACGGUCUCCUGCGUCCAUAUAGUUUGGGUCUGGGUCGUCGUAUCAAGCAGAAGCUGUGGGAGCGACUGGACCGUCCGAUGUUCACAGAGACAGUGGAUGAAGACGGUCUGGUCCAUGUGGACGUGUCCUACGGUGCUGGAGUCCAGCCUCCGCUCUUCAACGUGGAUGUUUCUGGUGAACCAGAGCCCGAAUAUCCACCAGCAAAAAGGGCAAAGCACUAAGACACACUCUCAUAAGCUGACAUGUCUAAAUAACACUGUGCUUUAAGUUUAGUUUAGUUGUUUUAAGUUUCAUUUGAGUAGUUUUAAGUUUUAAGUAUGGCAGUUAAGUUUACGUUUAUUAAGUGCAGAGAUAAGUCUUUAGUGCCAAGCAUAAGUAUUAAGUGUUAAGUCUUUAGUUUUAAGUAUUUAGUAAUAAGUAUAGGUAUACAGUGUUAAGAGUAAGUGUUUAGUUUAAGUGUUAAGAAUAAGUAUUUAGUGUUAAGAGUUAGUAUUUAGUUUGAGUUAAGUUGACUUUCAUUGAUCUUAAUGUAUCUCACCACUGAUGAAUUGUCUUCCUCUGAAUCAGUUCAUGCUCCUCUGUUAACAGUCUUCUCAAUCAGCUUCAGCCUCAACAGCAACAGUUAUCACCUGCCAGAACACCUGCUCCACCCUCCAGGCUCCACCUGUUACUUCUACCAUCCACCUCAGACAACACAUCAGCCUUGAGCUGCAGCCUGUUCCAAAAACUCCUCUCCACCUACAGCCGCUGUCUCUCUGCUGCCUCCAUCCUCUACCAGCAGCUUCAGCAACAAACUGCUGCCUCACUCUCCACCUGCAGCCUCUGUUAGCAACCUGCAGUUGUUGGGUCCAGCUGCAGGUUCUGAAAGACAGCUUCAGCCGAACCUGCACCUCCACCCUCUGUCAGCAACCUGCAGCCAACUCCUCCACCUGCAGGUUCAGACGAACUGCUGACGGCUGAACCUCCAUCUACAGCCUUUGCCAGUGCACCUGUGCCUACACCUCUCGAAGUGAACUGCUAUCCGAGCCUCCACCCACAGCCUCUGUCAGCAACCUGCAGCUGCUGCCUCCACCUGCAGAUUCUGACAGAUCACUGCGGUCAAACCUCCAUCUACAGCCACUUGAAGAAGACCACUCCCCCUGAAGAUCCCCACAGAAAGCUGUGGUCAAACCACCACCUACAGCCUCUAUAAGGAAACCUGCACAGAUGUUAUCCUACUGCCAUGUGGAGACCUGAGUGGAACAGCAAGGACCAGAGAAACACACGCAUAUAUAGUCCUUCAGUUAAAAUGCAAAAAUAUAUCUGUGUUAUUAAAGCUGGCUUUCUGUUUACAUUCUGUUCACUUGUUCUUCUUCUCACAGGUGUUUUCAAACAUUGUGUGAAAGACUGAGCACACACUCCUCAACAUGAACCUGACUGACUGUGAUGAUGCCUUCAUGAAACAGAGAGAGCUCCUCUUCCUCCCAAGUUAUCUACCAGGAGCUGAUUCAGGCCCCUGAGGACAACUCCUUCUACAACAGCUCUGUUCCAGAGAUGCUUCCUCCUCCUCCUCCACAUCCUCCACCUUCAC